UCGACUGCUGAGUGCUCAUUACUGCACAAUUCCAUAAUGAAAUUACCUAGACGCUGAGCCGCUGACAGUGAAGGUGUUCGUUCGUGAUCACUAUGAUGUACGUUUAGAUGUGGCCAAAAUUACUAGAUGUCGCCACUGUCGCCCUUGUUGUUCCCACGUCGUGUAAAGAGAAAAAAUGGGCGAAACUAAUUGUUUCUAAUUUAUGCUUAUAUUCCCGUGAUUUCAUAUACCAAAUUGAGCUUCGUAUGUUAUAUGCAUACUGUCAGUCAUUCCAACAAGUUUACUUAGCGCUCAGUCACUUUCCAUUCAUUACAUUCUCAUGCCACAGUCUUAGUCUGUGCUCAUGCUGUCAAAAUCCUAAAACUCAUGUGUGAAGCCCACAUUUCGUGGAAUACAAAUGUGUGGAGACAAGGUAGAAACACAUCAUCAAUACCACCCAUCACCACGCUACUGCAAUACUUCAUGACACUUUAUUUAGCAUCAGCAAAUUUAGGAGAGGAGUAUGGCUGUUGGUUGCUGUGAUUUCCAUUUGUAAAGUUUUUCAUCACAAAAAUGUCAGUGUGCUUCUUAGUAAAGAUCGCGUAAUUGAUCUAUAAGCCAAUGCUGACCUUUCUCCAUGACGGAAGAGGGACAUCCUAGCAACGUUCUGGUCCAUUAUUAUCUUCCUGACGUACGCUCAUCUAGCUUCACUGCUUUUGCUGCAACACAACUUGUCUUGCUUCACCGACGAGUUGGAAACUUGGAACACUUCAGUGGUCGCUACCGUCCGCUGUUACACACCUGCAGAUACUCACCGCGGGAUUUUGCCCAGAAAUAUGCGCCGACAAAUACUUCUGGUAACGGAAAAGGACAAUCGCGACCGACAACGAGACUCGUCAUCAACGUGGAUCAUCGUAUUGUUGGUAUUAUUUCGUUUGUGUUAGUUAACCCGAUGGCUGCCACG